UACGGGGGGGGCAAGCGUUGUCCGGAAUCAUUGGGCGUAAAGCGCGUGUAGGCGGUUCGGUAAGUCGGCUGUGAAAGUCCAGGGCUCAACCCUGGGAUGCCGGUCGAUACUGCCGGACUAGAGUUCGGAAGAGGCGAGUGGAACUCCUGGUGUAGCGGUGGAAUGCGCAGAUAUCAGGAAGAACACCAACGGCGAAGGCAGCUCGCUAGGACGGUACUGACGCUGAGACGCGAAAGCGUGGGGAGCGAACAGG
rnacentral:rRNA from 1 species